GUAGAGAACUGAGAUGACGAGGAAGCGGAGGGCUGCGGGGAGCCCUGGGCGCUUGGGGCCGCUGAGGUGGGCGGCGGGGCGGUAGCACCUGAUGGGGGGCCAGGGGAAUACUGAGUGGUGGGCAAGGGCCCGGGCCGGGUGGCAACAGCUGCUCCAGUCCCCCGGUAACAGUACUUCUGUCCCUCCAGCACGGAGGCCAAGGAUUUGAGCAGGCUGGCUGGGCUGGCUGGCGGGGGUAGCGGGGGUGGCGGCGGCUGCGGCUGGGGUGGCGGAGGGAACUUGGCUAGAGGCGGCGGUGGUGGCAGGGCUGGUGGUGGCUUCUUCUCCUCUUCCUGGGUGGCCGUGGUGGUGGCAGCGGUGGUGGCAGCGGUGGUGGCUGGGGCUGUGUCAGUGGGGAACGGAGGCUGCAGAGAUGCAAAGGGCUCCUUCAGGGGAGGCGGGGGGACCACGCCAGCCUCCUGUUGUUGCUGCUCCUCCUCCUUGCGAAUGGAUUCGUCCAGCAUCUUCAUGAUGUUGGCCAGCCCAUCAGGUAGGAUCUUGAAUUCAGCUGGCUCCUCAAACUGGUCCUCCAGCGGGGUAGGGGGGAAAUCAAAGAGUCGAGGGCCUCGGGCAGGCAGCUCCCCAACCCUGGACGGCACAGGCUGGGGGGCUUUAUUCAGGGGGCCUGGGGAUGGCCCCGGCCCCACCUCGGGGGUCUUUGGGAAGGAGACCCUGGGCCGAGGGCUCUCCGGGCGCCUGAAGCUUCCUGAGGUAUUUUGGUGGCAAGAGGAGGGAGGGGCUGGAGGCAGGGCAAGACUGAGGGGUGCAAGAGGCGGAUCCUGGGGGCUCAGUGUUGGGCUGGGGGGCCGAGGAAGGGGGUCCAUACUUCUGGCCAGAUAGGGAGGUGGGGGGAAGGACACAGACCCAGUAGGGCUGCUGCUGUGGCUGCCAUUGUUGCUGCUGCUGCUGCUGGUGGUCGGAAGGAAAGCAAAGCCAGGAGAAGCAGCGAGACAGAGCCCCGAAAGGUGCCGCGGGCAGACCUGGGACGCACAGGCUGUCGGGCGACGGGAAGGGAGUCAGGCUGCACGAGACGGCGGCGCGGCCGGCGGGUGACCAGCCCAAGUGGGGGAGAUGGAACGAGGAGGGCCGGGGGAAAGCGGCAAGGCCGGGGGCGACGGGGAGACGGAACCGGGGAAAGGGGUCAGCCGGGAGGGUGUGGAGGAAAAUCCGAGAAGGGAGGGCGAGCCAGGCCGGGGUUACCUGCUGGGUGUCUGUCCCCCGGCGGUGCCCCCGGAGUCCGGGUAGGGAGGGGGGGAGCAGCAGGGGGGGGAGUGGGGGCUGGGGGGGCGGGGGAGACGGUCCCUCCUCUGCC
rnacentral:lncRNA from 1 species